UACGGAGGGGGCUAGCGUUGUUCGGAAUUACUGGGCGUAAAGCGUACGUAGGCGGCUUUGUAAGUCAGGGGUGAAAUCCUGGAGCUCAACUCCAGAACUGCCUUUGAUACUGAGGAUCUUGAGUUCGGGAGAGGUGAGUGGAACUGCGAGUGUAGAGGUGAAAUUCGUAGAUAUUCGCAAGAACACCAGUGGCGAAGGCGGCUCACUGGCCCGAUACUGACGCUGAGGCACGAAAGCGUGGGGAGCAAACAGG
rnacentral:rRNA from 1 species